ACCCGUACGAUCAGCAAAGUUAAGCAACGUCGAGCCUGGUCAGUACCUAGAUGGGUGACCGUUAGGGAAUACCAGGUGCUGUAAG
rnacentral:rRNA from 1 species